rnacentral:rRNA from 1 species
AUACGUAGGGUGCAAGCGUUAAUCGGAAUUACUGGGCGUAAAGCGUGCGCAGGCGGUUUUGUAAGACAGUGGUGAAAUCCCCGGGCUCAACCUGGGAACUGCCAUUGUGACUGCAAGGCUGGGGUGAGGCAGAGGGGGAUGGAAUUCCGCGUGUAGCAGUGAAAUGCGUAGAUAUGCGGAGGAACAACGAUGGCGAAGGCAAUCCCCUGGGCCUGCACUGACGCUCAUGCACGAAAGCGUGGGGAGCAAACGGGAUUAGAUACCCUGGUAGUCCACGCCCUAAACGAUGUCAACUGGUUGUUGGGGAUUUAUUUUCUCAGUAACGAAGCUAACGCGUGAAGUUGACCGCCUGGGGAGUACGGCCGCAAGGUUAAAACUCAAAGGAAUUGACGGGG